ACUCCUACCGGGAGGGCCAGGCAGGUGGGAAUAUUGCACAAUGGGCGGCAAGGCCUGAUGCAGGGCCAUGCCGCGUGUGUGAAGAAGGCCUUCGGGUUGUAAAGCACUUUCAGUCGUGAGGAAGGUAGUGUAGUUAAUAGCUGCAUUAUUUGACGUUAGCGACAGAAGAAGCACCGGCUAACUCCGUGCCAGCAGCCGCGGUAAUACGUAGGGUGCAAGCGUUAAUCGGAAUUACUGGGCGUAAAGCGUGCGCAGGCGGUUUGCUAAGACCGAUGUGAAAUCCCCGGGCUCAACCUGGGAACUGCAUUGGUGACUGGCAGGCUAGAGUAUGGCAGAGGGGGGUAGAAUUCCACGUGUAGCAGUGAAAUGCGUAGAGAUGUGGAGGAAUACCGAUGGCGAAGGCAGCCCCCUGGGCCAAUACUGACGCUCAUGCACGAAAGCGUGGGGGAGCAAACAGGAUUAGAUACCCU
rnacentral:rRNA from 1 species